CCAGCUUUAAGACCAACAACAAUCCCUCCAUAACAUGAUUGUUUUUUUUUUUUUUUUCCUUUAAAUUUUUGAGAAGCACCUCUAUACCAUGAUCAUGGAUCAUCUAACACUAUCACAUGCAGUUAAGCAUUAUUUUCUAAAAUCAUUAUGUAUCGACAGUAUUGUCAAUAACCGAAGUAAUAAGUCUGGGCCACUUACCACAAGCACUUACAACAAAUGCAUAUGGCAAACUACAAAAAGUUUCAAAUUAAACUAUUAAAUACCAAAAUCAACAGGAUACAAUCCUUUAUUAAGGAAUAAAUAGCCUUUAUUAAGGAAUAAAUUCUGAUAUAGUUUCAUAAUAAAUAGCCUAAGGAGGCUGAAGCACAACCAUAAAUAAUGAUUGUUAGCCUGUCAUAUACUGUGUGCUCAUAUCCUAAAAGUGUCUUAAGCUUUUAGGAAAGUUGACAACUUAACAUGGCAUCAAAGCUCUGAUUAACAAUAGGUCUCAAGUUUGAGUCUCUCAUACUGUUUAUUCCCCCAUCUAUUUAUCUAUCCUACUGCCUAUACCCUCAUCUGUUUAUCUAUAAUUAAUAACUACUAUUGACCUGUCUUUCCACAGUAUGAGACUGCACAUGAAAGCUUAAGCUUUUAAAAAAGUUGUUAGCUUAACAAUGAUGAUAUUUGAAGUUGAUAAGUCAGACCAGAAUCAGUUUUUCCUAUGUAAUGACUGUUAUUUCUGGUUCCAAAAGAGGAUACAUUAAGGAGCAUAUGUACAUUUUCGUUACAUGCUUAAGCUGUAUAGCUCCCUUUUCUUUUGGGCUUUGAAGCUUGUCAUAGUUUUAAAAGCCCUAGUUAUAGCGCCUUGCUUGCCAAGACAUGCACCGUAUUGAAGAGGCGCGCCUUGGCUACUUUACUUUUUCUUUUUAAACACUUCUAUUCUUUGAAUUUCAAAUUGCAUACUGAAAUUUAUAAAGUUCUGAUAUUUUUUUGUUGAAUAUUUUCUUUAAAAGUUAGGAAUCAUAAAUUUUUUAUUGAUUGGAUUAUAUUUUGGAUCAUAUUUUAUAAAAUUGAUAUGCAUCCUACAUCACGUUUCACUUGACUUAAGUCAUGACGUAUGUGCACCUUGUAUUGCACCUUAAUGCCUAAACUGUAGGAGACUCUUUUGAACCUUUUGUGUGCCUUGUGCCUUUUAAUCCAUGAAGCUUGUUAUACUCCCUACUUUUAGUUUUGAUUAGUUGUUAUAAGAUUUUGGAAGUACUUCAAAAAACAUAAACUUUGAGGCUCAAACACCAAAGACUCCACGCAUCAGCACAAAGAAAGAGAGAGGAUUGGGUUUGUGGGAAAAACAAAGAAAGAAAUAUGCUGACUUCAAGCUGGAAGAGCUUACAUUGCUCUAGAAAUAUCAGCAACCAGGGUUUAGAGUUUUUGGAAGUAAAUAAAAAAAAAAGGGAGAAAAUUAAGACAAGAAUAGGAACUCCAAUGAAUGUCACCACUAAUAAAGGAACACAAGCCCUGCUAAGAACGUAUAUAAGCACCUGGACCUAAAGGCUCCACACUUUCACAAGCUUAAAGGGUAUUUCAACAGAACCUCAAUGGAGACAAACUCAGGUUACAGGAGACAACUGAGAAUGAAGAUAUAUAUACAUACACACAUGGAUGUGUGCAUGCAUGGAUGUGUGCAUGUGCAUGUGUGUACAUACAUACAUGCAUACAUACAUACAUAUGUAUAUAUGUAUGAGUGUGUGUGUGUAUAUGUGUGUGUAUGCAUACAUGUGUGCAUAUGCAUGGACUGAAAAUCCAUGUUAAAAAAAAAAGGGAGAGAAAUCUGUUUCUGAGUCAAGUAAUAUCACUUGACUUCUUCUAAAGGAGCUUGAAGUGUGAUAUUACAGUAAACUGGUCAAAGCAAGUGAAUCUGGAGAAGCAAUGAAAGAACAAUUGAGUUAACUGAUAUACUUGUUCUCAGUGGAAGAGGAAAAAAAAAACAGAGAGAAAGAGAAGAAAUAGCAGGUAGAUCAAUUGUCAAGUCUCAGAUUCUCAAACGGCCAAAAAAAAUAUAUGUGAUGCAAUUAGCACCAUAGAUACUGAUAAGAUGUUCCCUCCAAGAUUUCAAAAAAAUCAAACCAUAAUCACAUCAUCAGUUUCACCUAAUGUUUCAUAAACAUUAUAAAAGUUGGAACACA
rnacentral:lncRNA from 1 species